AUUGAACGCUGGCGGCAGGCUUAACACAUGCAAGUCGAGCGGAGAGAAGUAGCUUGCUACUGAUCUUAGCGGCGGACGGGUGAGUAAUGCUUAGGAAUCUGCCUAUUAGUGGGGGACAACAUUUCGAAAGGAAUGCUAAUACCGCAUACGUCCUACGGGAGAAAGCAGGGGAUCUUCGGACCUUGCGCUAAUAGAUGAGCCUAAGUCGGAUUAGCUAGUUGGUGGGGUAAAGGCCUACCAAGGCGACGAUCUGUAGCGGGUCUGAGAGGAUGAUACGCCAAACUGGGACUGAGACACGGCCCAGACUCCGACGGGAGGUAGCAGUGGGGAAUAUUGGACAAUGGGCGGAAGCCUGAUCCAGCCAUGCCGCGUGUGUGAAGAAGGCCUUAUGGUUGUAAAGCACUUUAAGCGAGGAGGAGGCUACUUUAGUUAAUACCUAGAGAUAGUGGACGUUACUCGCAGAAUAAGCACCGGCUAACUCUGUGCCAGCCGCCGCAGUAAAAC
rnacentral:rRNA from 1 species